CGGGUAUUGAGGAUGGCGGACGGGUGAGUAUUUCGUAAGGAACUUGCCUCUUGGUCUGGGACAACUGUUGGAAACGACAGCUAAUACCGGAUAUUAUGAGAUUCUCGCAUGGGAAACUUAUGAAAGCUAUAUGCGCCAAGAGAGAGCCUUGCGUUCCAUUAGCUAGUUGGUGGGGUAACGGCCCACCAAGGCGACGAUGGAUAGCCGGCCUGAGAGGGUGAACGGCCACAAGGGGACUGAGACACGGCCCUUACUCCUACGGGAGGCAGCAGUGGGGAAUAUUGGACAAUGGACCAAAAGUCUGAUCCAGCAAUUCUGUGUGCACGAUGAAGGUCUUCGGAUUGUAAAGUGCUUUCAGUUGGGAAGAAGCAAGUGACGGUACCAACAGAAGAAGCGACGGCUAAAUACGUGCCAGCAGCCGCGGUAAUACGUAUGUCGCAAGCGUUAUCCGGAUUUAUUGGGCGUAAAGCGCGUCUAGGCGGAAAAAUAAGUCUGAUGUUAAAAUGUGGGGCUCAACUCCGUAUUGCGUUGGAAACUGUUUUUCUAGAGUACUGGAGAGGUGGGCGGAACUACAAGUGUAGAGGUGAAAUUCGUAGAUAUUUGUAGGAAUGCCGAUGGAGAAGUCAGCUCACUGGACAGAUACUGACGCUAAAGCGCGAAAGCGUGUGGAGCAAACAGGAUUAGAUACCCUGGUAGUCCACGCCGUAAACGAUGAUCACUAGGUGUUGGGGGUCGAACCUCAGCGCCCAAGCUAACGCGAUAAGUGAUCCGCCUGGGGA
rnacentral:rRNA from 1 species